UGCAAGUCGAACGAUGUAGCAAUACAUAGUGGCGCACGGGUGAGUAACGCSUGGGAACGUGCCUUUUAGUUUGGGAUAACCACUGGAAACGGUGGCUAAUACCAGAUACGCCCUUCGGGGGAAAGAUUUAUCGCUAAAAGAUCGGCCCGCGUGAGAUUAGGUAGUUGGUGGGGUAAUGGCCUACCAAGCCUACGAUCUCUAGCUGGUCUGAGAGGAUGAUCAGCCACACUGGAACUGAACACGGYCCARAYYCYUASGGRAGGCASCRGKGGGGAAUAUUGGACAAUGGGCGAAAGCCUGAUCCAGCCAUGCCGCGUGAACGAUGAAGGCCUUAGGGUUGUAAAGUUCUUUUGUCAGGGAAGAUAAUGACGGUACCUGAAGAAUAAGCACCGGCUAACUUCGUGCCAGCAGCCGCGGUAAUACGAAGGGUGCUAGCGUUGUUCGGAAUCWCUGGGCGUAAAGCGCGCGUASGCGGCGAUACAAGUCAGAGGUGAAAGCCUGGAGCUCAACUCCAGAACUGCCUUUGAAACUGUAUUGCUAGAGUGUCGGAGGGGAUAGCGGAAUUGCUAAUGUAGAGGUGAAAUUCGUAGAUAUUAG
rnacentral:rRNA from 1 species